UACGUAGGGUGCAAGCGUUGUCCGGAAUCACUGGGCGUAAAGCGCACGUAGGCGGAUUGUUAAGUCAGGGGUGAAAUCCUGGAGCUCAACUCCAGAACUGCCUUUGAUACUGGCGAUCUUGAGUCCGGGAGAGGUGAGUGGAACUGCGAGUGUAGAGGUGAAAUUCGUAGAUAUUCGCAAGAACACCAGUGGCGAAGGCGGCUCACUGGCCCGGUACUGACGCUGAGGUGCGAAAGCGUGGGGAGCAAACAGG
rnacentral:rRNA from 1 species